GGAUCAUUACCGAGUUUACAACUCCCAAACCCAAUGUGAACGUUACCAAACUGUUGCCUCGGCGGGAUCUCUGCCCCGGGUGCGUCGCAGCCCCGGACCAAGGCGCCCGCCGGAGGACCAACCAAAACUCUUUUUGUAUACCCCCUCGCGGGUUUUUUAUAAUCUGAGCCUUCUCGGCGCCUCUCGUAGGCGUUUCGAAAAUGAAUCAAAACUUUCAACAACGGAUCUCUUGGUUCUGGCAUCGAUGAAGAACGCAGCGAAAUGCGAUAAGUAAUGUGAAUUGCAGAAUUCAGUGAAUCAUCGAAUCUUUGAACGCACAUUGCGCCCGCCAGUAUUCUGGCGGGCAUGCCUGUCCGAGCGUCAUUUCAACCCUCGAACCCCUCCGGGGGGUCGGCGUUGGGGAUCGGCCCUGCCUCUUGGCGGUGGCCGUCUCCGAAAUACAGUGGCGGUCUCGCCGCAGCCUCUCCUGCGCAGUAGUUUGCACACUCGCAUCGGGAGCGCGGCGCGUCCACAGCCGUUAAACACCCAACU
rnacentral:rRNA from 1 species